UGGGUAUAGUUAAGUGUUAGAGCACCUGCCUCAUGUGCACAAGGCCCUGGGUUCUGUCCCCAGUACCACAG
rnacentral:tRNA from 1 species